rnacentral:rRNA from 1 species
UACGGAGGGUGCAAGCGUUAUCCGGAUUCACUGGGUUUAAAGGGUGCGUAGGUGGGUUGGUAAGUCAGUGGUGAAAUCUCCGUGCUUAACAUGGAAACUGCCAUUGAUACUACUGAUCUUGAAUUUUCUGGAGGUAAGCGGAAUAUGUCAUGUAGCGGUGAAAUGCUUAGAUAUGACAUAGAACACCAAUUGCGAAGGCAGCUUACUGCAGGGACAUUGACACUGAGGCACGAAAGCGUGGGGAUCAAACAGG